GGAUUAGAUACCCUGGUAGUCCACGCCGUAAACGAUGAGUGCUAAUUCUGGGAAUUUUUCUGGGGUAAAGCUAACGCGUUAAGCACUCCGCCUGGGUAGUACGAUCGCAAGAUUAAAACUCAAAGGAAUUGACGGGGGCCCGUACAAGCGGUGGAGCAUGUGGUUUAAUUCGAUGAUAACCGAAGAACCUUACCAGCUCUUGACAUGUACAUUUGGGUUUCACGAAAGUGGACUUUCAUUUAGUUGGGUGUACACAGGUGUUGCAUGGCUGUCGUCAGCUCGUGCC
rnacentral:rRNA from 1 species